rnacentral:misc_RNA from 1 species
GUUAAUAGCGAACUGAUGUCCCAACGAAUUUUAGGUAAUUAAAAAUAAUUUUUAAUAAUUUUUUAUGUAUAGUAAAAUUUUAAUUUACACAGUAUUUUUAAUUAAAAUUUAUUCAAAUUACUAUGUGUAAAACAUUAUUUAAAGAAUGAUUUUUAAAUUAUUUGUGGCUGCCACAUCAUUAUUAUUAAUUGUGCUAAUAUACA